UGAUGAAUGACAAACAAUGAAGUCAAGUGUCAAACAACGAUAUUAUAUGACAAACAAUCAAGAGUGAAUGCCAAGAAGCAUAUUGAUGACGGAAUUGCACAGAUAAGCCAAAGACGAGUUCAAAAGUUCAAGACCAAAGACCCAAGGCGUAGGUCAUAAGGUAGAACAAAUGUAAGAGCAACGUUUAAAGUUAUCUCAUCUUUUG
rnacentral:lncRNA from 1 species